GGCCUGGGGCAGGGGAGCGGGGGCUGGGAGGGUGCAGGACUCGCAGCCCCCAGCCCCUCCUUCCUCAGACCCAGGAGCCCUGAACCCCAUGCCCUCCUCCCUCAGACCCAGGAAUCCUGAACUCCACGCCCUCCUCCCUCAGACCCUGGAGUCCAGGCCCCCAGCCCCUCCUUCCUCAGACCCAGGAGUCUUGAACCACAGGGCCUCCUCCCCCAGGCCUUGGAGUCUGGGCCCCCCAGCCUCUCCUCCCUCAGAUCUGGGAGUGCAGGACCCAGGGCCCCUCUGCAAGCACCCAAAUGUGGGCCCCCAGGGCUGAGGAGCCCAUUCUUCAACUUCCUUUUCUCUUAUUCAGGAGUUUGCAAUCCUCACCCCCCCCCCCCCCGCCCGAGACUGGAAUCUGGACCUCCAGACCCCUCCCCAGGACGCAGGAGUCCCACGCCCUGGUUCCCUUCCCCCACCCAGAAAGCCAGGAACCGAAACCAUCCCCCCUUCUGCCCUCUGGACCCUGGAGUCCAGGCCUCCAUUCCUUGCCUCCCUCAGGACGCCCCCCCCCCACUCCCCCCACCUGCUCUGGCCCCCCGGGGUGCCGGCCAGCCUCCGGAGGAGCCCCAGGCCUCCGUUUCCCACGUCGGGCCCGCUUCCAUGGCCCCAGGUGCGACUGUUUCCGUCUCUAGCGGCCGGCUGGGCGGGGACUGCCCCAGGCACACGUACGGUCUUUGCGAAACACUUUAUUGGCGGAGGCUCACACAUUCUGACCGUGUCUCAGGCCAGAGAAUGACAGGAGGGUGACAGGUGCGCUGGGACCCUGAGGUGGCUCAGAUGGAAGCUGCAAGAACCAUGUCCGCAGGCCUGCUCCUCGGUGCCUCAGUUUCCCCCUUAUGAAACGGGAGGGUUAUGUUCCCUUCCGGGUCUGAAAUCCUGGUACAAGUGGGACGAAAGCCCCAGGGAGGACGUUCCCCACUCCCAGAACCUGCCCCGGAGCUCCUACCCCACACCCUGUGCCAGGAAAAGGACGUGUGCCCAAGAAGCCGUGGGCCUGGCGGCCCCUGCUGGCAGGGUCGGGGAGUGCGGCUCUCUCCGGAAGCUGGGGCAGGGACACCUGGGUGGUCGAGGGUUGUCCUGAGCCCUCGGGGCAGAGGGCAGAGGGCGGGGAAGCAGCGAGAGCUGCAGCCCGGCUCCGUCGGACGCAGGGUACGGAGCGGAGACGGGAAUCCUCGCCAGGUUCCUGGCCGCUCCAGCAAUCUUUCUGGGAAAGGA